UACAGAGGGUGCAAGCGUUGUUCGGAAUUAUUGGGCGUAAAGCGCGUGUAGGCGGCUUUGCAAGUCGGGUGUGAAAGCCCUCAGCUCAACUGAGGAAGUGCGCCCGAAACUGCAGAGCUUGAGUGCCGGAGAGGGUGGGCGGAAGUUCCCCAAGUAGAGGUGAAAUUCGUAAGAUAUGGGGAGGAACACCGGUGGCGAAGGCGGCCAGCCUGGACGGUAACUGACGCUGGAGGGACGAAAGCGUGGGGAGCAAACAGG
rnacentral:rRNA from 1 species